GAUGAACGCUGGCGGCGUGCCUAAUACAUGCAAGUCGAGCGAACAGACGAGGCGCUUGCUCCUCUGACGUUAGCGGCGGAUGGGUGAGUAACACGUGGAUAACCUACCUAUAAGACUGGGGUCACUUCGGGAAACCGGAGCUAAUAUCGGAUCACAUGCUGAACCGCAUGGUUCAACAGUGAAAGACGGUCUUGCUGUCACUUAUCGAUGGAUCCGCGCCGGAUUAGCUAGUUGGUAAGGUAACGGCUUACCAAGGCUACGAUGCGUAGCAGACCUGAGAGGGUGAUCAGACACACUGGAACUGAGACACGGUCCAGACUCCUACGGGAGGCAGCAGUAGGGAAUAUUCGGCAAUGGGCGAAAGCCUGAAGGAGCAAUGCCGCGUGAGUGAAGAAGGUCUUAGGAUCGUAAAACACUGUAAGUAGGGAAGAACGGAAGUGAAAUAAACUAUGAGCGUUUUGACGGUACCUAAUGAGAAAGCCCCGGCUAACUACGUG
rnacentral:rRNA from 1 species